UACAUAGGGUGCAAGCGUUGUUCGGAAUUACUGGGCGUAAAGCGCGCGUAGGCGGCCUUCUAAGUCAGACGUGAAAUCCCUCGGCUCAACCGGGGAACUGCGUCUGAGACUGGAAGGCUUGAAUCCGGGAGAGGGAUGUGGAAUUCCAGGUGUAGCGGUGAAAUGCGUAGAUAUCUGGAGGAACACCGGUGGCGAAGGCGGCAUCCUGGGCCGGUAUUGACGCUGAGGCGCGAAAGCCAGGGGAGCAAACGGG
rnacentral:rRNA from 1 species